AUGGAGAGGAAGGUCCACGUGCCGUUCUGGAAGUCGUCCUUCUCUGUGGCCAGCACCAGGAUACGACACUCGAACCAGCCCUCGUCCUCCUGGGUCAGCUGGUCCAGCAGCAGAGAGGCCCCCCGCGUCAAGGAUACACGACCUGGGGGGGGGGGGAGAGGAGGGGGAGGGGGAGAGAGGGGGGGGAGGGAGGAGGAGGAGGGGGAGGGGAGGAGAAGGAGGAGGAGAAGGAGGAGGGGGAGGGGGGGGAGGAGGAGGAAGAGGAGGGGGAGGGGGGGGAGGAGGAAGAGGAGGGGGAGGGGGGGAGAGGGGGGGAGGGAGGAGGAGGAGGGGGAGGAGAAGGAAGAGGGAGGAGGAGGGGGGAGGAGGAGGAAGAGGAGGGGGAGGAGGAAGAGGAGGAGAAGGAGGGGGGGAGGAGAAGGAAGAGGGGGGAGGAGGAGGGGAGGAGGAGGGGGAGGGGAGGAGAAGGAAGAGGAGGGGGGAGGAGGAGAAGGAAGAGGAGGGGGGAGGGAGGAGGAGAAGGAGGAGGAGGGGGAGGAGGAGGAGAAGGAAGAGGAGGGGGGAGGAGGAGGAGAAGGAGGAGGAGGGGAAGGAGGAGGAGGGGGCAGGAGGAGAAGGAAGAGGGGGGGAGGAGGAGGGGGAAGAGGAGAGGGAGGAGGAGGAGGAGGAGGGGGGAGGAGGAGGAGGGGAAAGAGGCGGAGGAGGAGGAGGGGGGAGGUGGGGAGAAGGGAGGAGGAGGGGGGAGGAGAAGGAAGAGGGGGGAGGGAGGAAGAGGAAGAGGAGGAGAAGGAGGGGGAGGGGAGGAGAAGGAAGAGGAGGGGGAGGAGGAGAAGGAAGAGGAGGGGGGAGGAGGAGGAGAAGGAGGAGGAGGGGGGAGGAGGAGAAGGAAGAGGAGGGGGGAGGAGGAGGAGAAGGAGGAGGAGGGGGAGGAGGAGGAGGGGGCAGGAGGAGAGGAAGAGGGGGGAGGAGGAGGGGGAAGAGGAGAGGGAGGGAGGAGGAGGAGGAGGAGGGGGGAGGAGGAGGAGAAGGAGAGGAGGGGGGAGGAGGAGGAGAAGGAAGAGGAGGGGAAGGAGGCGGAGGAGGAGGAGGGGGGAGGAGGAGAAGGAAGAGGGGGGAGGAGGAGGGGAGGAGGAAGAGGAGGAGAAGGAGGAGGGGGGAGGGGAGGAAAAGGAAGAGGAGGGGGAGGAGGAGGAGGAAGAGGAGAGGGGAGGAGGAGGAGAAGGAGGAGGAGGAGGGGGGGGGAGGAGGAGGAGAAGGAAGAGGAGGGGGGGGAGGAGAAGGAAGAGGAGGGGGGAGGAGGAGGAGAAGGAGGAGGAGGAGGGGGGGAGGUGGGGGAGGAGGAGGAGAAGGAAGAGGAGGGGGGGGAGGAGGAGGAAGAGGAGGGGGGAGGAGGAGGAGAAGGAGGAGGAGGAGGGGGGGAGGUGGGGGAGGAGGAGGAGAAGGAAGAGGAGGGGGGGGGGGAGGAGGAGGAAGAGCAGAUAUACACAGAUCAUCCACAGUUGGCAGACGAGCUGGCAAAUGCAGCACUGCAGAGGUAAAAAUGUCCAGGUCCACAGGGGCCACCGGGACUACAGGGGCCACAGGGGCCACCGGGACUACAGGGGCCACCAGGGCCACAGGGGCCACCGGGACUACAGGGGCCUACAGGGGCCACCGGGACUACAGGGGCCACAGGGGCCACCGGGACUACAGGGGCCACCAGGGCCACAGGGGCCACAGGGACUACAGGGGCCACAGGAACUACAACGAAGAGUAAAAACAACUGAAUAUUAA
ensembl:lncRNA